AAACAAAGUGAAAAACGAAACCGAAAUUUUGGGCUGCUCCGCCUUCCUCAGUCACGAUAGGCUGCUUUUGCAAACUACGUCUUUUCCUCCAUCUCACAAUGGGUCAAUAACAUUUCCUCUGACAAGGUACGGGAUGAAGAGCUGUUGCAAGACAGAUGGACAGUGGGCGAAAGCGAGUGUGUGAGAGGGUAGAAAUCAAACAGUUAGUUGCCUUUUUGUAUGAAUAGGGGAAGAACGCAAUGGCGCACAAGAGGGACGGUUCUGCCCAGAGCCAGAGUCACUGGAGCAAACGAGAGCUUUGGAGUGAAUUGCUUGCUUUUCCAUUGACUUUGGGAGAACGUUACCAAAAUAAGCUAAUGGACAAGAACAAGUUUAACAAGUGAUGAGAACAUGCCACUUGGGAAUAUCAGAGAACAUCUGGCACAUCCAGGACUCUGGUGUCCAGGCAGAUUCCUUCAGCUGGGAGGAUGAGUGAGCAAGCUGCGGACUUCUCCACAAUGUUGAUGCCAACGCCGCUUUAUAGUCAGCUGACGAGAGGCACGCAUCCUGUGGAGCAAGAUGGCCA